GGGAGGGCCUGCAGGUUUGAUCGCGAUGUGCAGAAGCGUGAAAUGGUACAACUUGUUUACCUGAGUUCGGGCUUGUCUCGAUCUUGUGGUACUCAGUGGUAUAUACCAUCCUCAUGACGUUUCCGAGGUUUACAAAGAGUGGAAUGGACCGAACAACGCCCCACCUAAACCGGGAUCAAGGCUCAGGAUGCCUGCAGUGUCUUAAUUUAAGAGUAUGCGAGCCUUCGAUGGCCUCAUGUGGCACGCCAUACCUUAAAACCCUGGUGUUGAUGACGUGACUGUGUCCCCCUGGAGACUAUCUUGCAUAGCAACAUACAUUCAUUGGGUUGUACAAACUACUGUACUGUCAGGCAGCCUAUUUUGGAGCGCUCAGCCUCCACUGUACCGAGCUAGGUCUGAGCACACAUGUCCAUCCUGACCUGGUGGGGGGAUUACACCAUACGGAAGGACGAUCUCCUUUGACAUCCCCACCACCAGUACGUAUAGAAUAUUCAAAAUGCUGUGCUCCCGCUGAGUAAAUACCCUCAAAUUGAGCCGACUCC
rnacentral:lncRNA from 1 species